CAAGAGCGUAUAUUAAAGUUGCUGCGGUUAAAAAGCUCGUAGUUGGAUUUCAGUCUAGGAAGGUUAACUCGCCGAAAGGUUGUACGUUGAUUUUCCUCAGACUUCGUCAGAAGCUCGUGCUGCACUUAACUGUGUGGUACGAUGUUCUGACCUUUUACCUUGAGGAAAGUAGAGUGUUUCAGGCAGGCUACCCAGCUUGAAUACAUUAGCAUGGAAUAAUGAAAUGGAUCUCGGUUCGAUUUCGUUGGUUCUAGAGCUGAGGUGAUGAUCAAUAGGAACAGGCGAAGGUAUUCGUACUUGAGAGUGAGGAGUGAAAUCCGAUGAUCUCUUAAAGGCGAUCCGAGGCGAAAGCAUUUGUCAAGGAUGUUUUCAUUGA
rnacentral:rRNA from 1 species